rnacentral:lncRNA from 1 species
UGAAGAGGUUGAGGGGACUGAAGGCGGUGGUGGUGACAAUGUAGACGCCGGGGGAGAUUUUGUAACUGGUGCAGGAGCAGAUUGAGAAGGAUGAGGUGGUGGUGUAAGCACAGGAGGCGAAGGAGUACUUGUAGGUGGAUUUGACGAAGGUGGAGGUGGAGAACUGGAGGAAGGUGGUGUUGGGACAUUGACUGGAGGAGGUGAACUGGAGGAAGGUGUUGCUGGGACAUUGGCUGGAGGAGGUGAACUGGAGGAAGGUGUUGUUGGGACAUUGGCUGGAGGAGGUGAACUGGAGGAAGGUGUUGUUGGGACAUUGGCUGGAGGAGGUGAACUGGAGGAAGGUGUUGGGGGAGGGGAAUUGACAGCAGGAGAUGAUGGCGGGGGUGCUGUUGGUGGUGAUGGUGGAGUGGAUGUUGG